UGGCGCCUGGGCUGCUCUUCUGGCUGCUCGUGCUUGGGCUGCCGUGGCGAGUGCCGGGCCAGCCGGACCCCAGCACUGGCCGGCGCUUCUCGGAAGACAAACUCUGUGCAGACGACGAACGCAGCAUGUUAAUGUACCAGGGUGAAGCUCUAGAAAAUUUCAGAGGCCCAGAUUGUCAUUUUGUGAAUUUUA